GAUGAACGCUGGCGGCGUGCCUAAUAAAGGAAAGUAGAGCGAAAAGAUGAGGAGCUUGAUGGUAUGAAGUUAGCGGAGGAAGGGUGAGUAAAACGUGGAUAAGAUAACUAUAAGACUGGGAUAACUUCGGGAAACCGGAGCUAAUACCGGAUAAUAUAUUGAACCGCAUGGUUCAAUAGUGAAAGACGGUUUUGCUGUCACUUAUAGAUGGAUCCGCGCCGCAUUAGCUAGUUGGUAAGGUAACGGCUUACCAAGGCGACGAUGCGUAGCCGACCUGAGAGGGUGAUCGGCCACACUGGAACUGAGACACGGUCCAGACUCCUACGGGAGGCAGCAGUAGGGAAUCUUCCGCAAUGGGCGAAAGCCUGACGGAGCAACGCCGCGUGAGUGAUGAAGGUCUUCGGAUCGUAAAACUCUGUUAUUAGGGAAGAACAAAUGUGUAAGUAACUAUGCACGUCUUGACGGUACCUAAUCAGAAAGCCACGGCUAACUACGUG
rnacentral:rRNA from 1 species